rnacentral:tRNA from 1 species
GUUCCUUUAGCUCAGUCGGUAGAGCGGUGGUCUAAUAAACCACAGGUCGUGAGUUCAACCCUCACAGGGAACA